AGGUGAGAGCGGUAUAAUCACCGCCCACUGGAUCCAGCGACGUCUUGAUCCGCAGGCGGUGGGGGGAGAAGAAGAAAAACCCCGCCAAAACCCCCAAAGUCACCAGUCAGUAUCUAUAUCCUUUGCAGCUCCCCCAAGGCGGGGAGUUGUUUUCAUAGGGUGGUGUCUCCCUUUUUGGCACGGAGUUCGUGGUCUCUUCCCACCUUUUCGGGGCUUGACAUCUUCUGCACUGGAGGAGGGGGGAUGGGCCCAGUUGCCCAUCAGAAAGUCAAAAGCCUGCAGAAGUCUCUUAGAAUGCAUGAAUCCUUAACUGUUCCAGUCUCUGACACCCUCCUGCCCAACUCCAUCUCUAGAAGUCACCUGGAAUCACCAGGAAACACCAAGAUUCAGCCAAAAACAAUCCUCUCAGCGCUGCUCCCGGGACGUGGGGGCUGCGGAUACAGCGGGCCGUGCAUCAACCACCCAAACUUGGAGUUUCUCUGCACUGGCUCUGAUGAGCUUCCAUAAACAAAGCCCGAGGGAGCUGAAGAUUGGAUGUCUGGGAUCUUAAAUUCCUGGUCCUUCAAGGACAUGUUGGAGGAACCAGAAGGGCCAGAGGAGAUUAACAAAGACAUUGCAGCCUGAGAGUUGGAGACUCUGUGUCUGAGGAGGAGUGCUAAGAGGACCAAAGAACGUGGACCAAAUUAGCCAGUUAAGGAUAGAAUACUAAUUAGAGUAUCAUUUAAUGAAGAUAAUUCAUUAGUUCAUUAAUUCGGGUAAAUUAGAAGCAAUGAACAUGAAUUUGUUUGUUUGUUCAAAUGUAGAAAUGUGUGAAAAGUCUGGAAAGGGACAGGUGUGGCUGGAAUGAUUGGCUCCCUGUCUCUGGGAGCCAGAACAAAGCAGUGCCUGGCUCACCAACACUUCCCAGGGGCGUUGGAGGGUUUCAUUUCUUCCCAACGCUUUUCAGGGACCUUGGUGAGCCAGGUAGGACAAUGCUGUCGACCCUCCAGGGAUUCCGGGACCCUGAGGACUCCAGCGAGCAGUGAAAAUAUUCUUCUGGGAGAUCUCAGUCCCUGGAUCUGGGAUCCUGAGGAGGGUGAAGCCCUUCUGUGCAGGACAUGGAGAUGGUCCCUGGCCUGUCCAAAUGCAUUAAAUGCUGCUGCUGAAGGAGCCCCCCCAGUGAUUUUAUCUGCAUUGACCCCCUGGAGCCCACGGGCACCUGCUCCUGCCUGGACAGAAACCAGGAGCUUCCUUGGACUGGUGUCCCCCAGGAAGGACGUUUUCCCCCCUGUUUCUGAGGCUUUUAAUAGUCUUUGAUCAAUAAAUAUUUCUCCAUGUGA